CGUAUGGUGGCCGGGGCGUCUGACCUUGGCUCUCACCCGGAGGCCUUCCAGGUGCUAAGGAUGGCUAAUGCAAGGCCACACAGGCAGGCAGAGGUGGCUCGUGACGCCACCAUGGGACAAAUCAGCCUCUGGGAGAGGAGGGCAACUCCGGCAGCCCUUGCCUGCCAGGAUGGACCCUGGACCCUGGAGGGCAUCGUGUCCUGGAGCAGCACCAGCACCUCUUGUUCUCACUAGACGUGGAUGCCCACAUCAUGAAGCUCAUGCCUGGGAAGCUGUGGAGGCUGAGACCCUCCCUACCCCACGUCUGUGUAAAACACAAAGCCACUGAGAGCGACUGCAUA